AUGUCGACGAAUGGCCUGGAGCUCAACGGCAACUGUGGAGCCGACAUCGCCGGAUUGGAGUUUGAAGUUUUCCCGGUGGAAUCCCAGGAUUCCAUGAGUGCUCCAGGCAUAGAGCUCGAGAAGAACGGAGAAGAAGGGCUGAUCAAAGAUGGGCACAUAUUUGAUGUGUGCUCUGAAGCUACAAGCGGCUGGACGAGGAGGGUGAGGCUUGGGAAGGUACCUGAUGAGAGGCACAUGAACCCGGACAGGAAAACUGCACUUGAGCUGUCUGUCCGAGCUUUUGCCGAAAAAUGUGAAGGGCAUGUCAUCAAUCCAAAAAUUGGCACGGAGUUUGACUCACUGGAUGAGGCGUAUGAGUUCUACAACCUAUAUUCAUGGGAAACAGGAUUUGGGAUAUGGCUGGCAAAAAGUAGGCUGAACGUGCAAAGAAUAAGAUGUAUGCAAGAGAUUGUCUGCGCAUGUGCGGGGUCCCCAUUGAAGGAGAACAGCCGUUCUUCGCAGUGUGGUUGCAGCGCAAUGAUACGGCUGCUCCGAUCAAGAGAUGGCGGUUGGUACAUAUCGGAGCACAAAUCAGGGCACAACCAUCCGCUAUCAAUUACGUGUGGACAGAAAACGCAUUGGAAGUCACAUAGGCAUAUAGAUAGAUACACCAAGGAUCUUGUGAAACAGCUCAGGGAUAAUAAUGUUGGCCUUGGGAAGGUUUUCAGCAUUGUUGGUAGCUUCUUUGGUGUCGCGGAGAAUGUCCCUUUUACAAAAAGGUCGUUGAAGACAUUAUGCAAGAAGCUCAACAAGGAGCAGUCAGAUUUCGAUGCUGUCAAGACAAUGGACCUGCUUGGGGAGAUGAAAGCUAACGAUCCAGAUUUCAACUACACCGUGCAGGUUGACGAGGAGAGUCGCAUAAAGACACUUAUGUGGGUGACCAGCAGGGGGUGCGAUCAGUACAGGUGUUUCGGAGAUGCAAUAACAUUUGACACAACAUACAGGACAAACUUGUAUGAUAUACCGUUUGGUAUCUUUGUUGGAGUCAACAACCACUUCCAGAGCAUAAUUUUCGGUGGAGCGAUGAUGAGGGACGAGAAAGAGGAAACAUUCAAAUGGAUCUUCAAGGAGUUUGUCCGUAUGGUGGGUGGGAAACACCCGCAGACGAUACUUACAGAUCAGGCACGCUCCAUGGAACUGGCGAUCGAAGCAGAACUGCCAAAUACCGUGCACCGUUGGUGCAAAUGGCAUGUUUUGAAAAAAGCUAAGGAGUCCAUAGGUGUUCUUUGGAGCAAGAACAGCGAAUUCAAGCUAGAAUUUCACAAGCUUGUCCAUCACAUGAUCACGGAAGAGGAGUUUGAGGAUGGCUGGAGCCAGAUGCUGGCGAAAUAUUCUUUGAGUAAACAUCCUUUCUUGACCCAGAUAUAUGAGGUCAGGCAUAAGUGGGCGAAGCCGUACUUCAGAGGUGUGUUCUGUGCCAGGAUGACAAGCACUCAGCGGAGCGAGAGCGCCAACCAUCUAUUUAAAGGUUACGUGCCGCCAGGGUGCCCAAUGCAUCUGUUUCUGAAGCAGUUCCAGAAACUGUAG
rnacentral:rRNA from 1 species